rnacentral:rRNA from 1 species
AAUGACUAACCUAGAGCCUGAUCUCAUCAGAUCUCAGAAGCUAAGCAGAGCAUGGCCUGGGAAUACCGGGUGUGACAUUGGGGGGCCCCAGUGGCAUUU